GGAUUGCCCCAGUAACGGCGAGUGAAGCGGCAACAGCUCAAAUUUGAAAUCUGGCCCCUAGGGCCCGAGUUGUAAUUUGCAGAGGAUGCUUUUGGCAAGGCGCCGCCCGAGUUCCCUGGAACGGGACGCCGCAGAGGGUGAGAGCCCCGUCUGGCUGGACGCCGAGCCUUUGUAAAGCUCCUUCGACGAGUCGAGUAGUUUGGGAAUGCUGCUCUAAAUGGGAGGUAUAUGUCUUCUAAAGCUAAAUAUUGGCCAGAGACCGAUAGCGCACAAGUAGAGUGAUCGAAAGAUGAAAAGCACUUUGAAAAGAGGGUUAAACAGUACGUGAAAUUGUUGAAAGGGAAGCGCUCAUGACCAGACUUGGGCUUGGCGGAUCAUCCGGCGUUCUCGCCGGUGCACUUCGCCUCGCCCAGGCCAGCAUCAGUUCGCCCCGGGGGACAAAAGCUUCGGGAAUGUGGCUCCUCCGGGAGUGUUAUAGCCCGUGGCACAAUACCCUGGGGCGGACUGAGGUUCGCGCGUCCGCAAGGAUGCUGGCGUAAUGGUCAUCAGCGACCCGUCUUGAAACACGGACCAAGGAGUCGUCCUCGUAUGCGAGUGUUCGGGUGUCAAACCCCUACGCGUAAUGAAAGUGAACGCAGGUGAGAGCUUCGGCGCAUCAUCGACCGAUCCUGAUGUUCUCGGAUGGAUUUGAGUAAGAGCAUACGGGGCCGGACCCGAAAGAAGGUGAACUAUGCCUGUAUAGGGUGAAGCCAGAGGAAACUCUGGUGGAGGCUCGCAGCGGUUCUGACGUGCAAAUCGAUCGUCAAAUAUGGGCA
rnacentral:rRNA from 1 species